rnacentral:lncRNA from 1 species
CCACAGUCUGUAAAGCCUGAUGAAAUCAGCCGGAAGGAUUACCCAGGGAUGAAACGAGGUUAUUAUAAAAUAUCUGCUGGAGCCACCACGCAGAUCUUGUGAGCUCGGAAGCCAGUGUUCCGUGUCAUCAUGGGCUCCCUUUGGUCACCCUGUGAAGUGACUCAGAUGAGAUGCCUGUCUUCGAGGCCUCGGCUGCUUCCUUUUCUCCUUCCUGAUGUCCGCAUUAGGUGUUCCCACAGCAUGCUGUGCACACCUUAUCCAAGCUCUGAAUGUACUCUUGUCUGAUGAGUGCCUUAAAGGGUAAGAACUGAAACUCUGUGUCCCAACUACCCAGAACCAGGUUCGUAGUAAAAUUUAAUAAAGGCACAGUAGAAUGAGAAAUUCAUAAUUGUUUAAUAUCAUUAGUUUUAAAUUUUGAAGAUUAAUAGGGAUCAUGCAGGGGAAAUGUAGACACUGUAAUUAAUGAAUUUCAAACAUUAAGUAUACGCUGGGAGACAAUUUUUUAAUGAUCAUCUCUGGACUACUGUGGCGGUUAAUUUAAUGAGUCAACUGGACUAGUCCGUAGUACCUAGUUUUUUUGUCAAACAGCAGUGGAGGUGUUGCAGUGAGGAUUUUUUAAGAUGUACUAGACUUUGGGUACAGCAGAUUACCCUCCGAAAUGCAGGUGGGCCUCACCUAAUCCGUUGACAGACUCAAGAGAAGACUGAGGUCCCUGGAGGAGGAGGGAAUUCUGCCUCUGGAAUGCCUUCAGACCCCAGCUGCCACAUCAUCUCUUCCCUAGGUCUGCAGCGUUUUGGCCUGCCCCGCAGAUUUUAGACUUGUCAGUCCCACGAUUACAGAAGUCAAUUCCUUAAAAUAAGUCUUUAUAUAUGCAUUCUUUGGGUUCUCUUUCUGUGGAGCGCUCUGACCAAUAGAACUAUUUCUUCAAGGAUAUUUGUAAAGGAAACAGCUUUGGAAGAAUGAGAUGACCGUCUCCCUCCAAUGCCAAAGCCAGAUUUGUUGCUGUCAAGUAUAUUGAAGAUUUAAUGUCGCCCUCUGAGGCAAAGCCUGGACACUUUGGCCUGAAGUCCACGAUGAAAGACUGAAGUUUCCUAAGCUCAGGCUUCCUCAGCAGUGAUACAAACCCAUCGCAUGUGCAGCACCCACCCGCCUGGACUACCAUCACGGGACUUGGGAGGCGAGGAGAACUGAAGGGAUACGAAGCUCAGGCUGCUUGCUGUGCUGUGAACAAUCAAAGUCCUCUGUCUCUGAUCCCAGUACUUUCUGCCAGCACUUAGGAAGCUGUGUUAGCUUGUUAGCCUGGAAAGAGGGUAAACUCUUACACAAUUUUUCAUCAAGCUGCAAUGUUUAGCUUAAAGCAUAUGUUUAUUAUAUAUUUGUUGAAUUAAUUAGUGAACACUGUAUAACCCUUUGCUCAAGUUGUUGUAUAUAAGACAAUUUUUGUUAUCUCUUUAGGUCUCCAGGCUAUACAUUUCUAGCCUUCCCACACACACACACACACAAAACCUACUGGAAACAAAUUCAAGUUCCUUUAUAUUUGGCUGCUCUUAAGCAUGAUACAGUUACUUACCCAGAGAGUGGUCAAUCAUCUCGUUCAUUUUAAAUAUUGUAACGCAGCUACUACUUAUUGCACAUACACCUAUAUUGCCAGACAAAAUGUUAGGGUCACAUAGCUUGUAUAUCUCAAAGCUCCAGAGGACAGAGAUUUUGUCUUUUUUGUUGUAGACUAUACCCCAGUGCCCAGGGAAGUGCCUGAAAGUAGUUGGCUGUCAAUAAUAUUCAUUGAAUAAAUUUCCAGGGCUUGUAAUGAAUCACAUGUAGAGGCAGGGGUGAAUGAGAACAACAAGCAUGAAUCUUAUGUUCGGCAUAAGCAACAGGGGAAAAGCCAAUGCCACUUAUUAAUGUGGAGAACACUAGGGGAGAAGCAAAUUUGAGAAAGGAAAUUAAUUUUGAACAUGAACAUGUUGAGUUUCAGAUAUCUGUAAAAUGUGCAAAUAGAGGUGUUUGAGUGGGCAAGUGUAUAUAUAGACAUAAAGCUCAGAGAAGAGAUUCCAUCUGGAGGUAUACAUGUGGUAUUCACAGCCUCCCAAAAUUGAUGGAUUUGAAGCCUGGGAGUGGGUGAGGUUGUUACUGGGGAGGAGCAUGUGGAGGGACAAGAAAAGAGAGCCUAGAACUUAGACUUAGAAACUUACAAUUUAAUGGUUUUAUAGAAAAGGAUCCCCUAAUGAUUCUCAUUAGUGGCCUGACACAUUGAAGCAAAACCAGGAAAAUGAAAGCAAGAGAAGCUAAGAAAGAAACUGAGUCAAAAAGAAGGGAUGGACAGUGAUGUUCCAUGUUGAUAAGAGAUCAAGCAAGUUGUAUCUGGCAGUAUGAAGGUCACUGUUGACGUAGCAAGAGCCCUUUCAGCGAAUGGUGGUAUAGAAGACUGGGCCAAAUUUAAUGGUAACUGGUGGUAAAGUAGUGACUGGUUAUUGAAACUGAGGAAGCCUGACUGUGAAUGGGAAGAGAGAGGUAAGGCAGCACUGGACGGCAAGGGGUUUGGGAGUCCAAGUAGAGUUUUUGUUGGUUUGUUUUUUUAAAAUGGAAGAUACCUGGGGCACCUGGGUGGCUCAGUCGGUUGAGCGUCCAACUUCGGCUCAGGUCAUGAUCUCAUGGCUUGUGAGUUCAAGCCCUG